CGGGUGAGUAACGCGUGGGUAACCUGCCUCAUACAGAGGGAUAACAGUUAGAAAUGGCUGCUAAUACCGCAUAAGACCACAGUACUGCAUGGUACAGUGGUAAAAACUCCGGUGGUAUGAGAUGGACCCGCGUCUGAUUAGGUAGUUGGUGAGGUAACGGCCCACCAAGCCGACGAUCAGUAGCCGACCUGAGAGGGUGACCGGCCACAUUGGGACUGAGACACGGCCCAG
rnacentral:rRNA from 1 species